rfam:Ictidomys tridecemlineatus contig096940, whole genome shotgun sequence.
GGGGUUGUAGCUCAGUGGUAGAGCACUUGCCUGGCAUGUGUGAAGCACAGGGUUCGAUUCUCAGCACCA